rnacentral:rRNA from 1 species
AGCAGCCGCCGCGGUAAAACGUAGGUCCCGAGCGUUGUCCGGAUUUAUUGGGCGUAAAGCGAGCGCAGGCGGUUAGAUAAGUCUGAAGUUAAAGGCUGUGGCUUAACCAUAGUACGCUUUGGAAACUGUUUAACUUGAGUGCAGAAGGGGAGAGUGGAAUUCCAUGUGUAGCGGUGAAAUGCGUAGAUAUAUGGAGGAACACCGGUGGCGAAAGCGGCUCUCUGGCUUGUAACUGACGCUGAGGCUCGAAAGCGUGGGGCGCAAACAGGAUUAGAUACCCCAGUAGUCCCUGUCUCUUAUACA